rnacentral:rRNA from 1 species
UACGUAGGGUGCAAGCGUUGUCCGGAAUUAUUGGGCGUAAAGAGCUCGUAGGCGGUCCGUCACGUCGGCUGUGAAAACCUGGGGCUCAACCCCGGGCCUGCAUUCGAUACGGGCAGACUAGAGUUCGGUAGGGGAGUCUGGAAUUCCUGGUGUAGCGGUGAAAUGCGCAGAUAUCAGGAGGAACACCGGUGGCGAAGGCGGGUCUCUGGGCCGUAACUGACGCUGAGGAGCGAAAGCGUGGGAGCGAACAGG